GAUGAACGCUGGCGGCGUGCUUAACACAUGCAAGUCGAACGGGAUCCAAGGGGUGCUUGCACUUUUUGGUGAGAGUGGCGAACGGGUGAGUAACACGUGAGUAACCUGUCCUUUUCUUUGGGAUAAGCAUUCGAAAGGGUGUUUAAUACCUUAUGUUCUGUCUGCCUCGCAUGGGGUGGGUGGGAAAGGCUUUGGCCGGAUUUGGGUGGGCUCGCGGUCUAUCAGCUUGUUGGUGGGGUGAUGGCUUACCAAGGCUUUGACGGGUAGCCGGCCUGAGAGGGUGGUCGGUCACAUUGGGACUGAGAUACGGCCCAGACUCCUGCGGGAGGCAGCAGUGGGGGAGAUUGCACAAUGGGCGAAAGCCUGAUGCAGCGACGCCGCGUGGGGGAUGAAGGCCUUCGGGUUGUAAACUUCUUUUGCUCUGAACAAGGCAUGCCAGUGGGUGUGUUGAGUGUAGGGGUUGAUUAGCGCCGGCUAACUACGU
rnacentral:rRNA from 1 species